GCUUAACACAUGCAAGUCGAGGGGCAGCAUGGUCUUAGCUUGCUAAGGCCGAUGGCGACCGGCGCACGGGUGAGUAACACGUAUCCAACCUGCCGUCUACUCUUGGACAGCCUUCUGAAAGGAAGAUUAAUACAAGAUGGCAUCAUGAGUCCGCAUGUUCACAUGAUUAAAGGUAUUCCGGUAGACGAUGGGGAUGCGUUCCAUUAGAUAGUAGGCGGGGUAACGGCCCACCUAGUCUUCGAUGGAUAGGGGUUCUGAGAGGAAGGUCCCCCACAUUGGAACUGAGACACGGUCCAAACUCCUACGGGAGGCAGCAGUGAGGAAUAUUGGUCAAUGGGCGAGAGCCUGAACCAGCCAAGUAGCGUGAAGGAUGACUGCCCUAUGGGUUGUAAACUUCUUUUAUAAAGGAAUAAAGUCGGGUAUGCAUACCCGUUUGCAUGUACUUUAUGAAUAAGGAUCGGCUAACUCCGUGCCAGCAGCCGCGGUAAUACGGAGGAUCCGAGCGUUAUCCGGAUUUAUUGGGUUUAAAGGGAGCGUAGAUGGAUGUUUAAGUCAGUUGUGAAAGUUUGCGGCUCAACCAUAAAAUUGCAGUUGAUACUGGAUAUCUUGAGUGCAGUUGAGGCAGGCGGAAUUCGUGGUGUAGCGGUGAAAUGCUUAGAUAUCACGAAGAACUCCGAUUGCGAAGGCAGCCUGCUAAGCUGCAACUGACAUUGAGGCUCGAAAGUGUGGGUAUCAAACAGGAUUAGAUACCCUGGUAGUCCACACGGUAAACGAUGAAUACUCGCUGUUUGCGAUAUACAGCAAGCGGCCAAGCGAAAGCGUUAAGUAUUCCACCUGGGGAGUACGCCGGCAACGGUGAAACUCAAAGGAAUUGACGGGGGCCCGCACAAGCGGAGGAACAUGUGGUUUAAUUCGAUGAUACGCGAGGAACCUUACCCGGGCUUAAAUUGCAGAUGAAUUACGGUGAAAGCCGUAAGCCGCAAGGCAUCUGUGAAGGUGCUGCAUGGUUGUCGUCAGCUCGUGCCGUGAGGUGUCGGCUUAAGUGCCAUAACGAGCGCAACCCUUGUUGUCAGUUACUAACAGGUUCCGCUGAGGACUCUGACAAGACUGCCAUCGUAAGAUGUGAGGAAGGUGGGGAUGACGUCAAAUCAGCACGGCCCUUACGUCCGGGGCUACACACGUGUUACAAUGGGGGGGUACAGAGGGCCGCUACCACGCGAGUGGAUGCCAAUCCCAAAAACCUCUCUCAGUUCGGACUGGAGUCUGCAACCCGACUCCACGAAGCUGGAUUCGCUAGUAAUCGCGCAUCAGCCACGGCGCGGUGAAUACGUUCCCGGGCCUUGUACACACCGCCCGUCAAGCCAUGGGAGCCGGGGGUACCUGAAGUGCGUAACCGCGAGGAGCGCCCUAGGGUAAAACUGGUGACUGGGGC
rnacentral:rRNA from 1 species